rnacentral:lncRNA from 13 species
UAGCCUCGGUUAAUGGUAUUUGAUGUUCAUUAAUGUUUUGGAUAACGGAAACAGCAGCCGGGUUUGUUCUCUGCACCCCAGCACUGCCUGUUCGCCGGUCCCAAUCAUUACCUCUGCCCCCAGUAUUGACUGGUGAUCGGCCCCCAGCCCAUCUCCUACAUUGAGUUGCAGUGCAGAACUAGAAACAAUCUCCAUGCAGAACCUGGGAAGCUCUUUCCUUGACCCAUUUCCAAGACCUACUCCACUGGCUUGCUCAUCAGCGUUGCCACAGAGCAGCAACAGUAGUAGCGGGGGUGUGAGAAGAAGGGAGAAAAGAGAUGCAGACUCAAUCCUUGAGUCAUCAUUCGCAAAGGCAUUGCAAAGGUUUGAAGAAGAUCUCAAGAUCUGGAGAACGUCAUGCACCGAGCUACCAGCUUGUCCCAGAGCUGAUUUCGUGGUCGAACUCUGGCCAACACUUCCGAUCAUCAGCUGCAUGAGUUUAUGCAUGACGAACAUGGACCGAACGACUGGAACCACAGUGAAAUGAACAACUUGUUCUGUUGUUCAGACAUCUCAGGAGUCAAACACGAGACACUUUUAUUCCCCACAAAACUGUUGUUAUUUACACGUCUCUUCAUAAGACACUGAUUUACUACUGUUCCAAAAUAUUUAUACUUCUCAUAAAUAUUUGUACCUGCUUGAACAUCAAGUGCUGACAACGUACUGAAGAGCUGUGUGCCACAGACUUUACAGGCUUGUGGUGUAGUUCAAUCUAAUCUAAAUUACUCCAUACUGUGACCUCCCAGAAUGAGGUUUCAUUUUAUUAACACGAUUAGACUCUACUGGUUCACAGUGCACACAAAGAACUGAGUAUGUGUCCAUCAAGAGUCCUCAUCCUUGCAGCCACGGUGCAGAAUAUAUUCUCUGACUCUCCUACAACUAGAGAGGUGGUAGUUCCAGGUAAGCCCAGGUUUAUUGAGAUGGACUUGAUAAAAAUAGAUUUCUCAUAUAGGGGUGCAUACAUGUAUGCAGAAACAAGGGCAAUUAGAAAUACAAAAAGUUAAAUUGAUUCCAACAUUCUAUUAUCAACAUACCUGGAUAAGGGCGCAUGAGGUUCUCAUGUAGGGGGAAAGCUGCAUCUCCCAGGAAAACAUGAGGACCUGGCAUUGUGGUACAUGGAAAG